rnacentral:rRNA from 1 species
UGGUGGAGUGAUUUGUCUGGUUAAUUCCGUUAACGAACGAGACCUCGGCGCGAUUUGUUGGGCGUUGGGUGCCGUCCGCGGCACAGCCACCCCAUCAUAUCCGGACUAUCGGUGCUUAGCCGGUGGAAGUUCGAGGCUAUAACA